rnacentral:lncRNA from 1 species
CUCAGUGGCCAGGGGCUCGGCUUUGUGACCCAUGCAGGAGAUAGAACUUAGGCUCAGAACAGGAAUAGGCAUUGUCCUAUCGAGACGAUUCUAUCAGAGUAGAUGGAAAAGCUGCAAAGUGGGUGACACAGACUCAAAAUUUGGAGCGGAUGAGGGGCAGGAGCAGCUCACUGAUUGGGCCCCGACUUUCCCAGGUGUCUACACUGCUAGAGCUACGCUCACAGCUGCGGACGUGCACGCGCUGCCAGCAACUGCACCGAGCACUCAGCGCACACCUGCUCCCACGCGCCACGCACUCGUGCAGGUGCCGGGAGCUCCGUCGUCAGCAGCCAGAGGAAAGCCCUGUUCUCGUGGAACCUCCAUCCUAGCGAGGACAGAAUGAGGACGCACAAAUCAAAUCGAGUCCACAGCGUGUCAGGUGACAACAUGCUGAGGAGAAACGCAGAGCCAGACGAGGGGCAGGCAGAAGGGCGGGCGUUUGUGACCCGAGGCCGGGCGCGGGCCCCGCCGCAGGGCUGUGAGGCCGCCGUGGGACUGGUUCCACCGACACUGGAGGCCAGGCGUGGGCCCUCCGUAAAGUCCCCCGUGUGGGAUUACGGGACAGGCGGCGGAACCCCAGUUUAACCCUGGGUGUGUUUGGGCACGCAGCCAUGCCGACUAGAAGGACCUGAGAUGGAUUCGGUUCGCGGGGAACGGAGGUGCCCUAGCUCCCGUUCACGACCGCAUCUUAAAAAGCAAAGUGAGCCAGUUUUUCGCAAAGAUGAUUUCACUGGAUUUCCGCGUUUAGCGUCACGAUAUGGGGGCCUCCGAGCGCCUCUCUGGGCUUCCACACAAUGGGCCACAUCACGUUUCUGACCAGAGAAACACAGGUAUCUGUGCUUGUAAACAUCUGGAAUUUAAUUCGGUGGAAAAAAUAACUUGUGGGGAGGGUGAUACACAUCUAGGUCUGUGUUCAGCUUGGGGGCUUGCCAGCCAGUGGCUUUUUUAUCGUCUUUAAUCCUGGGAGAGUUGUUACUGAAAGAGGUAGCAUUUAGUGCAGCUCACAAAUGCGUAACAAUCCCCCACUUCAGUGAAUCCAAAGAAAACACAGAGAUUACAAAGCACCGUUUGAGGCCGGGAUCAGGAGGCAACCAAGACAAAUAGGUUUCUGUCCAUUUGGACAGGAGCUUUGGGGGCUCGCCUGUACUUCCUCUCUCACUGGCUUUAGGUGACUAAACCUUGGGGCUAUUCUGUCACUGCUGUGUAGAGCUGGCAUCGAGGUCGAACCUGUUUCUUCUUCGAAAUCUCUUGAAACAACUGCUGCUGACUGGGAAGGUGUCUUUGAAUUGAGGAGAGGAGAAAGAAGAGGAAUGAUUUUUUAAAAACCAUAAAACAGAGGUUACCCAGUGCCUUCAAGACUAAACUUUAUUAUAGUUUCCACAGCAAGUAGCUGGAGAAAGUGCAACCAAGGCUGCAAAGUGGACAGCCGUGCAGUGCGCAGGGUGCGGGAAGGCAGAGGGGUGGCCCCGUGGCCCCUCAGCCCAGGAGUCUCGAGCCAGUGGCUCUUGGGGCUGUGGGUUGAAAACAGGCCAGCAGCUUCUAGCACGUCCCUCGCGGUGUUCUUCACCUUCUCCCAAGAAUGCAUCCCUCGCAAUGCUCUCUCGUGUUCUCUUGAGGAUACGCGGCUUUUGGCCAUGGCAGCAGGUCAGUGCCCACAGGCUAGGAUGCCAGCAAGCACCUGGGGGGCUGUGGGGUCAGCAAAGCUGUGUGGUGAGACUGGAAUGCACCUACUGUGUUUCUGAUAGACUGCUCUGUUUAGCUGAAUGUUUGAAACAUGGCAGAUACUCAAUAAAUACUUUUAAUGGUUAAAUCAAUUCAUUUACUUCAUUUGACCAAGAGUGGAAAUUUUAAACAGGACAUUGGGGAAAAUUUUCCAUCAGAAAGGUUUUUAAUUAUCUUUAAAUCAAAAUGGUUUACUUAGGUGAUAUUGAAGGCCCUGUCUUAACACAAAAAGCUAUUUAAACAGUGUUACAAUGGUUAUUGCAGAAAGACUGUUCAGAAGAGCCUCAUUAAUAAAAAUAGCAGUUAAUAUUCCGAGAGGAAGAUUCUCUUAUUAGGACAACCAGCAAGCACUCACCAAAAGACAGGGUAGGCCCAGAGUGUGUCUAUUUGUUAUGGGGACCCAGACAGUGUUUCCUGUAUGAAAACUGAAUAGCGCUUGUAACUUAGGGCAUAUGCUUUGCAUAUUAUGGAAUAGAGUUCAGAUGGGAUUUUUGUCUCAUUGCUGAAUAGAUGGUUAUGGGGCGGAAAUAGGGGGUGCAUGAGGGUCACCGCCCACCUUGGUCUGAGAGCAUCCUCGGAAACUUGAAUGUAGGUGGCCUGAGGGAGGCCUGGAUGGUCCUGAGCUGCCCGGCAUGGGCCAGUGUGGCUGAAACAAGUGAUAAGAAAUUUAAUUUAACUCCCUGAAUAGUGGAAAAUGGACGAGUUUUGUCGAGCUGAGUCAGGGAGGAGUGUUGUAGGAGGCGGCGCUUGAGCGGCGAGAGAGAUGCAGACUCGUUUCCUGAGCGCGGUGGAGCCGGGUCUUGACCCAGCGGCUCUGCACAGCUCGCCUCAUUCAAGGCAGGUUUUGGUCCCAGCUGUUCCACUAAUUAGCACAUGACCCCGGCAGGCAGCAUGACCUCCUUGACCUCUGUCCUGUAGGACCCCUGCAGGCUCCGUGCAAAUUCAGUUAGAAUGACUCACCAUUCUCCCAAGUAAAUGGUAUUUUUCACUUUUUGGCAAAACCGUUUUCUCUUGUACAGUCAGAGCUGUCAGCCCACACAAAAGAGGAAAGUCUGAGGCUUUAGUUUGAUGAACACAUUUAUAUGAUGGGACGAACAUCAGAGCCCGCAGCUCUCGGCCCUGCUGGUGGCAGAGGCUUUGUACUGUGUGACAAUGACCUGGAUAUGGAAGCAGAAGGGAGCUUCUAAGGACCGGAAGCUGAGAGUCUGUCUCCUGUCCCGGCCCGGACACUGGGGUUCAGGUAAGAGGGUGGAAGGACAUUGGCCAGGUCAGGGCUGCCGCGAUGGUGCUGUGAUGGUUACGGCUGCAUCAGGGUCUGGCAGGAGCUGGGCUUCGCCUGGAGGCUCCCAGCUUCUCACAGCCCCUUGCACCAGCUUUCAACAGGGGGAUUGCAGGAGAAACACUUGAUGAGUCAGAGACGGGAUGUGGUGUCAGGGUGACACACACACUUUCUCAGUUUCAGGAGAACUUGUCUGUCAUUUUGGCAAAAAGUUUUUCUGUGUUUCUAAAGAGACUGGUUCUUUCUUGUUAUCCCCGAGGAUCCAGUUCCUGUUGCCCUGCAGCUAAUCAGCUUCACCAGACAUGGACCUCCAAGCUUAGGGAUGCAUGAAUCUGAAAUCCAAGCCAUGGUUGUAAUAGUGAUAAUAUGAGGAAAAACUAAGAAACCAGAUUUUCACAUUGCUUUCGGAAUGGAGCAACAAGCAGAUGCUUGUACAAUCUGGUGUCAGCCAAAAAAGAGCCUGUUUCAAUAAGCAGAAAUAAUAAAAUACUGAAUUAUCCCUCUUUUUGAAAAAGAACUAACCAGUUACAGUGCAAUAUCAGAACACGUUUAUUCACUUGCUCUCAAUAAACGCGAGUGUGAAUGUGAGUGAAGGCGGUGAGCUUCGCUGCUGAGCCCACGUGGCUGAGUGGCGAGGGAGGCCGGCAAAGAUGUGCCCUCGUGUGUCCACAUUUUAGGAACACAGGAGACAGGCCUCGCUGCCCACGUUCCCCUGCU